CUUUGGCUUUGGUCUUUGUUUACAAUGCUGCAAUUAUAUCAUAUUUUAAACCAACCAUAUAUAUAUGUAGUUGUUGAAACUAAUUCUAUUUUUUGUUCAUUAAUUUUCUAACUUUCUUUACUCAAGUCUAUUACAGUGUGUUCACAAUGGAAACAAUGAGACCUAACAGGUUGAAUCCAUCAUGGGAAGAAAUCAAGUACUACCAUAUUUGACUCGAGAGAUGGUAUGUGGAGAGGCUGUAGCAAGAAAAUGUACCAGUGAAUGACAAAAAGAAAAUACAGCACUAAGGGAGGUUUUCAGACACCAAAGCAUUAUUGAAGGAGGGAAGAACUAGGUGAGCUGUAUUUCUUCAUUUGUUUUCCUGGCUUUCAGCAGUCAAGCUCUCUCAAAGUACCUACAUUACCUCACUGGCAGAAUCACCCUGAAGGUAAAUGUGGAUAAAUUACCAGGUCACAGAUGAUAAAUGCAAGAAAACUCCUGGGCGGUAAUUUCACUUCCCCAAAGAUUGUGGGUGCCCAGAGAACCAAGAUUAUAAGUGGCUGACUGGAGUCUUUCAGCUGGAAGACACGUUCCAACCAAGUGACUGAUUUGUCACUGAAUCUUCGCUUUCAUCAAAAAGUUACUACUGUGUCCAGACAAUCAGGAGAAUAAAGUGUAUUUAGUCACAGAGAAUAUUCCAUGCUUUUUCUAUGUGCAGUGCUGUGGAGUAAAAAGGAUACUAUCUCAAUAUAAUUGU